AUAGUGCCCUCUGAUGCAAAUCAUUGGGUUAGAUCUGCUCUCUUCGCAAGAAGAGAGUUUCCAUACACACCGUGAACUGUGGCUUCGGCCAUCACAAACUGUUAGUAAUGAAUGUAAUAUCAUAACAAAAAC
rnacentral:misc_RNA from 1 species